UACGAAGGGGGCUAGCGUUGUUCGGAAUCACUGGGCGUAAAGCGCACGUAGGCGGAUUUGUAAGUCAGGGGUGAAAUCCCGGGGCUCAACCUCGGAACUGCCUCUGAUACUGCGAGUCUCGAGUCCGGAAGAGGUGAGUGGAAUUCCUAGUGUAGAGGUGAAAUUCGUAGAUAUUAGGAAGAACACCAGUGGCGAAGGCGGCUCACUGGUCCGGUACUGACGCUGAGGUGCGAAAGCGUGGGGAGCAAACAGGAUUAGAAACCCCCGUAGUCC
rnacentral:rRNA from 1 species